UACGUAGGGUGCAAGCGUUGUCCGGAAUUAUUGGGCGUAAAGAGCUCGUAGGCGGUCUGUCACGUCUGCUGUGAAAACUCGGGGCUUAACCCCGGGCCUGCAGUGGGUACGGGCAUGACUGGAGUUCGGCAGGGGAGACUGGAAUUCCUGGUGUAGCGGUGAAAUGCGCAGAUAUCAGGAGGAACACCGAUGGCGAAGGCAGGUCUCUGGGCCACUACUGACGCUGAGAAGCGAAAGCAUGGGGAGCGAACAGG
rnacentral:rRNA from 1 species